rnacentral:lncRNA from 1 species
CAAAGAAGCCCGGGUGAAUAGAAGAAAAUAGAAGGAAUGGUGGAUACAAGUGAAGGUUAAAAUGAGACCCCAUUUAUCGCACCAGCUGUUGGUGAUUUCAGCGCACCUUUCCAAGCCUCUUGAGAGUUCUGCUCUAACCACACUGCCCCCUAGUGUUCUCUCGCUUUGGUGCAACACCUGUAAUCAGCUAUUUCUUCAGGGAGCCUGUGAUUCCUUUUAGUGGAAAAUGUGCAGGUUUCUCAUACUUCCGGAGAAAUAGAAAGCACCAGAUGACAGCCACCACACACUUUUGUCCCCAUUGCAAUAGGAUGCUUCUAACAAUCGUAAAAUUAUGAAACACUGAAUUCCUUAAAAGUUGUCCAUUUGUGGAUUUAUCUGAUGGUAACUAUUAAAUAUUUAAAAGUAACUUUAAUGAAUCUACUUAUGAUGAUUGAGUAAUCUAUUCUCUGAAUUCCACCAAAAAACCAUUUUAUGACCACAGUCAUAACGAACAUAUUUCUAUAGUCCUAAGCUGGCAAGAUAAAUAGAGAAC